CCUACGGGUGGCAGCAGUGGGGGAUAUUGCACAAUGGGGGAAACCCUGAUGCAGCGACGCCGCGUGGGUGAAGAAGCGCCUCGGCGCGUAAAGCCCUGUCAGCAGGGAAGAAAAUGACGGUACCUGAAGAAGAAGCCCCGGCGAACUACGUGCCAGCAGCCGCGGUAAUACGUAGGGGGCAAGAGUUAUCCGGAUUUACUGGGUGUAAGGGGGGCGCAGACGGCGAUGCAAGCCAGGAGUGAAAGCCCGGGGCCCAACCCCGGGACUGCUCUUGGAACUGGGUGGCUAGAGUGCAGGGAGGGCAGGCGGAAUUCCUGGUGUAGCGGUGAAAUGCGUAGAUAUCAGGAGGAACACCGAUGGCGAAGGCAGCCUGCUGGACUGCAACUGACGUUGAGGCCCGAAGGCGUGGGGAGCGAACAGGAUUAGAUACCCCUGUAGUC
rnacentral:rRNA from 1 species